AGUUUUAUAAUCAAAAUUUAUAUAUGAUAUUAAAUUGCAAAUUUAAAGUUGAAUUUAUUUCUAAAGCUU
rnacentral:tRNA from 1 species